rnacentral:lncRNA from 1 species
GGGAGGUAACAAAACUCAUGUGAUUACACACUUAUUAAGGCAAGUGGCAUCUUGUCAGGAGACCUAAUAUCAGUUCAAAUGAUCCUUGUUGUGGAGCUUUAUUCUGCCACAGUUUCCAGCAAGCCUGGCUGUCAAUAUAAAGCACUACUUGCUUAGUCUUCAUUAGCAUCUUAUUCCUUUGCCUAAUUAUCCCUUUCCAUCCCAAGCUCCGAGGGCUGAUGCUGACAACUCUCUCUGCUGUUAACGUAACAUCAGUGCAGACUGCUCUUCAGAUGUCAGAAGUGUUGAAAGAAAUCACUCACAGGAGUGAGGAGCUGUCUGCCUCUGCACAGGUAGAAGCUAGCAACACACUAAAAGAUGUAAGUGCUUCCUUGCUCACUGUAAACACAGAGGACAGUAGAGAUGAUCAGAAGCUAAAGGAUGCAGCCACCUACCUAUUUAACGCAGUGAGCAAUGUCCUACAAGCUUCCAUACACACCAGAGCUGUGAACACUUCAGUGCCAGAGGCAGAACAGAGUUCAGUGUCACACCAGCUCCUGAACACAGUUGAAAAUCUACAGAGCGCCCUUCUGUUUGGGAAGGAACCAGACGAUGAACCCAUGGUCCUUACCACUCAUACUGCCACCAUGUAUAUAAACAGGUAACUGUAACAACACCUCCUAAAUCCUGAUAGUUACCCAAUUUUUCCCCGAAUAUCCAUUACAUUAUCCUUCAAUGAAACCACCUAACAAAAUAUUAUAGCAUAACGACAGCUUCAACAGUGUGAUGAGGCUGCCAUUGCUGACUGAUAGGAAGAACAGCUUGGACCCCAAUUAACUUCAGUAAACCAGCUUAGAAAUUCUCAUGCUGUGCCUUCUUUGACCAAGGGACAAACUACUGCUACCUCCUGGGUCAGGCAGUAGCUGCUUACCUUUGAAAGUCUGUGGAAAUCUCAGUUAAGUUCUUUUCUUCUUUUCCAUGUUGCCAAUAAUGACAUGUUAUACAGAACUGUAACCAGCCUGGCAGGAACAAAUACAAUCACGAGGAGCCUGAUAAGCAUUCUCCAUUGCCU